UACGUAGGGGGCAAGCGUUGUCCGGAAUCAUUGGGCGUAAAGCGCGUGUAGGCGGCUUGGUAAGUCCGCUCUGAAAGCCCGGGGCUCAACCCCGGGAGGCGGGUGGAUACUGUCAAGCUCGAGUCCGGAAGAGGCGAGUGGAAUUCCCGGUGUAGUGGUGAAAUGCGUAGAGAUCAGGAGGAACACCCGUGGCGAAGGCGGCUCUCUGGUCGACAUCUGACGCUGAGACGCGAAAGCGUGGGGAGCGAACGGG
rnacentral:rRNA from 1 species